AGGUUUGAAUCUCACAGAAGGAGACGUCAUGGAGCCUAGGCAGGGCAGCGUCAUUCUAGUGAAUCAGUCCAGGUGGGAUCUUCCCGUCCCCUAUGAGCUGAGUGUAAAUCUCAGUAUGAAUGACAGAGGAAUCAUUUUGAGAGCCUUUGAGCAGUUCAGACUGAAAUCAUGUGUUGACUUUAAACCCAGAUCAGCAGAAGAGUUUUACAUCUCUGUGGAGAGUCGUGAAGGGUACGGUAUGCUUCAAGUUUGUAAUCAACAAUAUUAGUAAUAUAGUAUAGACUGUUCUGAUAUGGUAGGUGCUGUACUAUGUGUAGAGUAAAAUAUUUUUAGUUUUUUUAGUUUUUCUUAUUCUAUUUUAUAUUUGAUAUUUGAGUUUUUGUCAGAUACAGUAUUUAAACACGUAUUGUUCAAUGGUAAUUAAAUGGAGAUCAAAUUAAAUGCACAGUUUUUAUAACGUUUGUUGUUAUAACAUGCAGGGGCGAGUCUACAUGGUGGCCAGGGGUGGCACCGGCCCCCACUGAAAUCUGGUUGGCCACCCCAGGUGCCCCCCUACCAGAUGUCUUGCGAUUGGCUUGUUUUUAGUAAAUUUCUAACUACAUCUGGCGGUGGUGGAUCCUGGCAUGGACAAUAUAGGCAGCUGCCUAGGGCAGCUUUCUUCUCUUCUUUAUAUUUAAAUUUAAGUGGUGUAGCGGCAAAAAAAUCAUUUUAGUUUACCACAUGGGAAACACCACCAUUGAACAGUGUUUGACGUGUGCUUCGUCUUUUCAAAAGAAUCUAAAAAGUUGCCAAAAGUGCAUCUCUUUUUUAUUUUACUUUCAAAACUUAAAACAAAUGCAAACCAAUCAAGUCAGUCCAUAAACAAACAUUAACUUAAUGGCCUCUGCUCUGCUCUUUCUUGUGUGCACGCCAUCUCCUGUGAGCAUGGUCAAAGACAAUAUCUCCUAUAGAGGACUCGUACUAACAAAAAUACAAAACAGCAUACAAAGCAAUACUUAAAUAAAAAGAAUAUGAACAAUAAUAUGGUUCCUACAAGCGGUUUCUAUAGCGUUUUGUUAUAUUAAUGACAAAUUUCGAGAGUGCAGUAAUGUAGCAUCCAUGUAAUGCGCGAACACAAAUCUCUCCACUCGCAAGCGGAUUUUCUUCACUUUCACACAAAACUGGAUGUGCACUGUUAAAUAUACAUUGUUCUCUCAUGAAUUGGCUCUGCUCUCUCAGAUAUUGCUUGUGCAUGCUCAAAAUUUGCCCUUGCAUCAUUGAAGACCAAAAGAGCGAGUAUAUCCUACUGCAUGCUGAUUAUAGUCAGCAUUCUCUAG